UACGGAGGGUGCGAGCGUUAUUCGGAUUCACUGGGCGUAAAGCGCACGUAGGCGGUUCGGUAAGUCUGAUGUGAAAGCCCUCGACUUAGUCGAGGAAGUGCAUUGGAUACUGCCAAACUAGAGUACAGGAGAGGAAGAUGGAAUUCCCGGUGUAGAGGUGAAAUUCGUAGAUAUUCGGAAGAACACCAGUGGCGAAGGCGGCUCACUGGACUGGUAUUGACGCUGAGGUGCGAAAGCGUGGGGAG
rnacentral:rRNA from 1 species